AUGAUAUUGAAAAGUUCUGCGGAGACACUGGCGGUGGUCUUCCUUUCCUGCUACAGUCUCUUUCUUUCUGUAUUUGUGUGUUCAUUUGCAUGUGGCUUUGGAAUAUCAAAGAAGAGGUCAGUUCUACACAAAGGGAGGCUUCCUUUAAAAAUCCCAAAUCUGAGAUCAAAGUGGUGGGACUCGCUUCGCGGCCGUGGAGUCGUGAAGCUCUCGAGGAGGACUCCUCCCGAUCCGGGUCGGCGCUCGCCCGAGCUCUCCGCGUCCCGGCCCCGGCCCCGCGCCGCCCGCCCACCCGCCGUGGAGAAGACGGAGCUGACCCAGAAGGCCAAGCUGGCCGAGCAGGCCGAGCGCUACGACGACAUGGCCGCUUGCAUGAAGGCCUGACCGAGCAGUGCGCCGAGCGGUCCAACAAGGAGCGCAACCUACAGGCACGUGGUCGGGGCCGCAGGUCCGCCUGGAGGGUCAUCUCGAGCAUCGAGCAGAAAACCGACACCUCUGACAAGAAGUUGCAGCCGAUUAAGGACUAUCAGGAGAAAGUGGAGUCGGAGCUGAGAUCCAUCUGCACCACGUCCUGGAAUUGUUGGAUGAGUAUUUAAUAGCCAAUGCAACUAGUCCAGAGAGUAAGGUCUUCUAUCUGAAAAUGAAGGGAGCUUGCUUUCGUCUUUCGGUACCCUGCUGAAGUUGCAUGUGGUGAUGACCGAAAACAAGCGAUAGCUGCUUCCCAAGGAGCUAGCCAAGCGGCCUUUGACACAAGCAAGAAAGAGAUGCAGCCUACACAUCCAGUCCGCCUUGGGCUGGCUCUUAACUUGUCGGUAGUUUACUAUGAGACCCUUAAAAAUCCAGAGCUUGCCUGCACACUGGCUAAAACGGCUUUUGAGGAGGCCAUUGCAGAACUUGAUACAAAGGCAGCGCCCUCACCAUGCAGCUGCUUAGAGACAACCUAACACUAUGGACAUCAGACUGUGCGGCGAAGAAUGGGAUGCAGCAGAAGGGGCCGAGAACUAAGUGCAUACAGGGUGUCGUCCUUCUUCCCGUCAAUAAACCUUUUUACACAUCUCCAUUCCUUAUUCCACUUGGAUUUCCUGUAGCAAAGAACCCACUCAUGUGUAUGGAAUCAACUGUGUAUCGUCUUUUCACACUGCAUCUUUGGGAAAAGUCCAUUCCUUGAUUUGUGUUUGUCUUGGCCUUCCUGGUGUGCAGUCACUGCUGUAGAAAAGUAUUAAUAACUUCGUUUCAUAUAAACAUAAGUAACUUCCAAACACUUAUGUAGAGGACUAAGAAUGUAUCUGGUAUUAAGUAAUCUGAACCAGUUCUGCAAGUGACUGUGUUUUGUAUUAUUGUGAAGAUAUGAAAAUGUAGUUAAUUACAAUUUAAAGAGUGUUCUACAUAACUUCUUAAUUUCUACAUUCCCUCCCUUAUUCUUCAGGGGUUUCCUUUCAGUAAGCAACUUUUCCAUGCUCUUAAUGUAUUCCUUUUUAGUAGGAAUCCAGAAGUAUUAGAUUGAAUGGAAAAGCACUUGACAUUUCUGGGCUGGGGGUCACAAAUUGAAAUGCCUCUGAUAUCAUGUAUUCUGGAGGUAGUGUAUAUCUGUGACAACAGGGAGUUUCCUUAUUCACUCUUCAUUUGCUGCUGUUUUAAGUUGACAACUUCCCUUCCCAAAUAAAAAUUCACUUACACCUCCUGCCUUUGUAGUUCUGGUAUUCACUGUACUAUGUACUAGAAGUAGCAUGUUGCUGCCAGAAUACAAGCAUUGCUUUUGGCAAAUUAAAAUGCAUGUCAUUUCCUCAUACACUAGAAAGGGGAAAUAGAGUACACAAGUCCAAGUCUAAAACUUUAGUACUUUGCCAUGCAGAUUUGUGCACAUGUGAGAGGGUGUCCAGUUUGUCUAGUGAUUGUUAUUUAGAAAGUUGGACCACUAUUGUGUGUUGCUAAUCAUUGAUUGUAGUCCCAAAAAAGCCUUGUGAAAAUGUUAUGCCCGAUGUAACAGCAGAGCAACAUACAAUAAAAUUACAUUUUAUAAACCAAAA